CGGCUGGAACAAGUAUUUGUUGGCCUGAUUGUUGUUGUUUGGUUGUGACAACUAUGGAUUGAGCUAAACGGAGGGAUCUCUCUCUCUCUCUCUCUCUCUCUCUCUCUCUCUCUCUCUCUUUGUUAUUUCUGAAAACAAAAAUAAUUGAUUUUGACAGUUGGUUGUGACAGCUAAUGUUUGUUUCAUGUUAGUAGUUUUGCUUGACUAAUCUACAAAGAUUUAUAUUGUGAUUUGUUUCAGCUUUUCAUCUUCUUAUGCGUAACAGAAGUGUAGAUGCAUUUUCAUCAGGACUACUUGGCAGUAAGAGAGGUGGAUGAUCAAUAUAUACCCUUGUGUUCAGUUUCUAUCCAGGUAAGUAGAUA